CCUACGGGUGGCAGCAGUGGGGAAUAUUGCACAAUGGGGGAAACCCUGAUGCAGCGACGCCGCGUGAGUGAAGAAGUAAUUCGUUACGUAAAGCUCUAUCAGCAGGGAAGAACGGUCACUGUGCUAAUCAGCAGUGAAUUGACGGUACCUGCAAAGGAAGCACCGGCUAACUCCGUGCCAGCAGCCGCGGUAAUACGGAGGGUGCGAGCGUUAAUCGGAAUUACUGGGCGUAAAGCGCUCGUAGGCGGUAUGUCAAGUCAAGGGUGAAAUCCCCGCGCUCAACGUGGGAACUGCCUUUGAAACUGGCAAACUGGAGUGUGUGAGAGGAUAGUGGAAUUCCAGGUGUAGGAGUGAAAUCCGUAGAUAUCUGGAGGAACAUCAGUGGCGAAGGCGACUAUCUGGCACAUAACUGACGCUGAGGAGCGAAAGCGUGGGUAGCAAACAGGAUUAGAUACCCGAGUAGUC
rnacentral:rRNA from 1 species